rnacentral:rRNA from 1 species
CCUACGGGAGGCAGCAGCAAGGAAUCUUCCGCAAUGGGGGCAACCCUGACGGAGCAACGCCGCGUGGGGGAUGAGGCGCUUCGGCGUGUAAACCCCUUUUCUGCGGGAAGAAGGACUGCGGUCUUGACGGUACCGCAGGAAGAAGGACCGGCUAACUACGUGCCAGCAGCCGCGGUAAUACGUAGGGUCCGAGCGUUGUCCGGAGUUACUGGGCGUAAAGCGCGCGUAGGCGGCGGUGCUGGCCCGGCGUGAAAGCCCCCGGCUCAACCGGGGAGGGUCGUCGGGGACCGCACCGCUUGAGGGCGGUAGGGGCUGGUGGAAUGCCUGGUGUAGUGGUGAAAUGCGUAGAGAUCAGGCGGAACACCCGUGGCGAAGGCGGCCAGCUGGGCCGUCCCUGACGCUGAGGCGCGAAGGCGUGGGGAGCGAACGGGAUUAGAUACCCCGGUAGUCCACGCAGUAAACGAUGCCGACUAGGCGUGGGGGGAGUUGACCCCCUCCGUGCCGGAGC